rnacentral:rRNA from 1 species
UUGAACGCUGGCGGCAUGCUUUACACAUGCAAGUCGAACGGCAGCGGGGGCUUCGGCCUGCCGGCGAGUGGCGAACGGGUGAGUAAUGCAUCGGAACGUGCCCAGUCAUGGGGGAUAACUACGCGAAAGCGUAGCUAAUACCGCAUACGCCCUGAGGGGGAAAGGGGGGGAUCGCAAGACCUCUCGCUUUCGGAGUGGCCGAUAUCAGAUUAGCUAGUUGGUGAGGUAAAGGCUCACCAAGGCGACGAUCUGUAGCUGGUCUGAGAGGACGACCAGCCACACUGGGACUGAGACACGGCCCAGACUCCUACGGGAGGCAGCAGUGGGGAAUUUUGGACAAUGGGCGCAAGCCUGAUCCAGCCAUGCCGCGUGAGUGAAGAAGGCCUUCGGGUUGUAAAGCUCUUUCGGACAGAAAGAAAUCGCACUGGUUAAUACCUUGUGUGGAUGACGGUACUGUAAGAAGAAGCACCGGCUAACUACGU